UACGGGGGGAGCAAGCGUUGUUCGGAUUUACUGGGCGUAAAGGGCGCGUAGGCGGCCACCGCAAGUCGACUGUGAAAUCUCCGGGCUUAACCCGGAACGGUCAGCCGAUACUGCGGGGCUAGAGUGCAGAAGGGGCAACUGGAAUUCUCGGUGUAGCGGUGAAAUGCGUAGAUAUCGAGAGGAACACCUGCGGCGAAGGCGGGUUGCUGGGCUGACACUGACGCUGAUGCGCGAAAGCGUGGGGAGCGAACAGG
rnacentral:rRNA from 1 species